rnacentral:rRNA from 1 species
ACGGGAGGCAGCAGUGGGGAAUAUUGCACAAUGGGGGAAACCCUGAUGCAGCGACGCCGCGUGAGUGAAGAAGUAUUUCGGUAUGUAAAGCUCUAUCAGCAGGGAAGAAAAUGACGGUACCUGACUAAGAAGCACCGGCUAAAUACGUGCCAGCAGCCGCGGUAAUACGUAUGGUGCAAGCGUUAUCCGGAUUUACUGGGUGUAAAGGGAGCGUAGACGGCGAGGCAAGUCUGAAGUGAAAUGCGGGGGCUCAACCCCUGAACUGCUUUGGAAACUGUUUUGCUAGAGUGCAGGAGAGGUAAGUGGAAUUCCUAGUGUAGCGGUGAAAUGCGUAGAUAUUAGGAGGAACACCGGCGGCGAAGGCGGCUUACUGGACUGUAACUGACGUUGAGGCUCGAAAGCGUGGGGAGCGAACAGGAUUAGAUACCCUGGUA